UACGUAGGGUGCAAGCGUUGUCCGGAAUUAUUGGGCGUAAAGAGCUCGUAGGCGGUCUGUCGCGUCGGCUGUGAAAUCCCGGAGCUCAACUCCGGGUCUGCAGUCGAUACGGGCAAACUGGAGUACUGCAGGGGAGACUGGAAUUCCUGGUGUAGCGGUGAAAUGCGCAGAUAUCAGGAGGAACACCGGUGGCGAAGGCGGGUCUGUGGGCAGUAACUGACGCUGAGGAGCGAAAGCGUGGGGAGCGAACAGG
rnacentral:rRNA from 1 species